rnacentral:tRNA from 2 species
GACCGGGUAGCUCAGGUGGCAGAGCAGCGGACUUUUAAUCCGCAGGUCCUGGGUUCGAAUCCCAGCCCGGUCA